rnacentral:rRNA from 1 species
GAUGAACGCUGGCGGCGUGCCUAAUACAUGCAAGUCGAGCGAACAGACGAGGAGCUUGCUCCUCUGACGUUAGCGGCGGACGGGUGAGUAACACGUGGAUAACCUACCUAUAAGACUGGGAUAACUUCGGGAAACCGGAGCUAAUACCGGAUAAUAUAUUGAACCGCAUGGUUCAAUAGUGAAAGACGGUUUUGCUGUCACUUAUAGAUGGAUCCGCGCCGCAUUAGCUAGUUGGUAAGGUAACGGCUUACCAAGGCAACGAUGCGUAGCCGACCUGAGAGGGUGAUCGGCCACACUGGAACUGAGACACGGUCCAGACUCCUACGGGAGGCAGCAGUAGGGAAUCUGCCGCAAUGGGCGAAAGCAUGACGGAGCAACGCCGCGUGAGUGAUGAAGGUCUUCGGAGCGUAAAACUCUGUUAUUAGGGAAGAACAAAUGUGUAAGUAACUAUGCACGUCUUGACGGUACCUAAUCAGAAAGCCGCGGCUAACUACGUG